rnacentral:rRNA from 1 species
GACGAACGCUGGCGGCGUGCUUAACACAUGCAAGUCGAGCGGUAAGGCCCUUUCGGGGGUACACGAGCGGCGAACGGGUGAGUAACACGUGGGUGACCUGCCCUCAGCUCUGGGAUAAGCCUGGGAAACCGGGUCUAAUACCGGAUAUGACUCCAUGACGCAUGUUGUGGGGUGAAAGCCUUGUGCGGCUGAGGAUGGGCCCGCGGCCUAUCAGCUUGUUGGUGGGGUGAUGGCCUACCAAGGCGACGACGGGUAGCCGGCCUGAGAGGGCGACCGGCCACACUGGGACUGAGACACGGGCCCAGACUCCUACGGGAGGCAGCAGUGGGGAAUCUUGCGCAAUGGGCGAAAGCCUGACGCAGCGACGCCGCGUGAGGGAUGACGGCCUCGG